CUACGGGUCGCAGCAGUGGGGAAUAUUGGGCAAUGGGCGCAAGCCUGACCCAGCAACGCCGCGUGAGGGAAGAAGGUUUUCGGAUUGUAAACCUCUGUCCUUGGGGACGAAUAAAAUGACGGUACCCAAGGAGGAAGCUCCGGCUAACUACGUGCCAGCAGCCGCGGUAAUACGUAGGGAGCAAGCGUUGUCCGGAAUUACUGGGCGUAAAGGGUGCGUAGGCGGCAUAUUAAGUCAGGUGUGAAAUUUUCGGGCUCAACCCGAAACCUGCAUCUGAAACUGAUAAGCUUGAGUAUGAGAGAGGAAAGUGGAAUUCCUAGUGUAGCGGUGAAAUGCGUAGAUAUUAGGAGGAACACCAGUGGCGAAGGCGACUUUCUGGCUCAUCACUGACGCUGAGGCACGAAAGCGUGGGUAGCAAACAGGAUUAGAUACCCUCGUAGUC
rnacentral:rRNA from 1 species